GACGAACGCUGGCGGCAUGCCUAAUACAUGCAAGUCGAGCGGACUUGAAGAGAAGCUUGCUUCUCUGAUGGUUAGCGGCGGACGGGUGAGUAACACGUAGGCAACCUGCCCUCAAGCUUGGGACAACUACCGGAAACGGUAGCUAAUACCGAAUACGUGCUUCCUUCGCCUGAAGGAAGCUGGAAAGACGGAGCAAUCUGUCACUUGAGGAUGGGCCUGCGGCGCAUUAGCUAGUUGGUGAGGUAACGGCUCACCAAGGCGACGAUGCGUAGCCGACCUGAGAGGGUGAUCGGCCACACUGGGACUGAGACACGGCCCAGACUCCUACGGGAGGCAGCAGUAGGGAAUCUUCCGCAAUGGGCGAAAGCCUGACGGAGCAAUGCCGCGUGAGUGAUGAAGGUUUUCGGAUCGUAAAGCUCUGUUGCCAGGGAAGAACGUCCUUGAGAGUAACUGCUCAAGGAGUGACGGUACCUGAGAAGAAAGCCCCGGCUAACUACGUGCCAGCAGCCGCCGUAAUAC
rnacentral:rRNA from 1 species